AUUUGUCUGGUUAAUUCCGAUAACGAACGAGACCUUAACCUGCUAACUAGAUUCUUCUAUACUAUAGAUGAUAUCUUCUUAGAGGGACUAUGUAAUACAAAUACAUGGAAGUUUGAGGCAAUAACAGGUCAGUGAUGCCCUUAUAUGUCCUGGGCUGCACGCGUGCUACACUGAUGCAUACAACAAGUGCCUAACCAGACAUGGUAUGGCAAUCUCGAAUAUGCAUCGUGAUGGGGAUAGAUCUUUGCAAUUAUAGAUCUUGAACGAGGAAUUCCUAGUAAGUGCAAGUCAUCAUCUUGCAUUGAUUAUGUCCCUGCCCUUUGUACACACCGCCCGUCGCUCCUACCGAUACCGGGUGAUCCGGUGAACCUUUUGGACCUUAACGGGGAAGAUAAGUAAACCAUAUCACCUAGAGGAAGGAGAAGUCGUAACAAGGUUUCCGUAGGUGAACCUGCRGAAGGAUCA
rnacentral:rRNA from 1 species